rnacentral:lncRNA from 10 species
CAACCACCCGCCCUCAUGUGCAGGGACAGGGCAGAGUCGUGACCAACAGUGGAAAGACCCAUAGCUCCCAGCUCCAGGGACGACGCGGGGGUGCUAAGCUGCAGGCUUAAAGAAGAAACCCAAACGCUCUGUGAAUGGGACAUGUGCUCAGAGGCGUCUGCAGUUGAGGCGGGUGACGUUCUGGGGUCCCUGGGAAGUUGUCAUCACCCUGCUGACAUGAGUGUGGAUGUUGAGGCCUGGAGGGUGACAGGUCACACAGCCAGAGCCUGGCAGCAGCGCAGGGGCGGAACCCCGGGUCCCCUGUGGGCCUGUGCCCUCUCGGCCAGCCUUGCAACGCGCAGCUAACGCUCUUCAAGAAAACAUUCUCUGGAGGAAUCCUGCUGGUCCUGAAGUUUUUGGCCUUGAGAAGGUCAUCACAGACACCCCUCCCCUCGGGCCAGGCCUGCUGUCUUGUCUAAGGGGCCCUAUUUUAUCUGAGGUGAUUUGCAACUCUGAAACACACAUACAUAAAAUAGAAAUACCGUCCUCACUAUUAACCUAGAGACCCCCAUCCCUACCCCUCCCUAUGAAUGCUUUUUCAUAAACAUGCCGCAUUCUGAGGAAUCCGAAAGACUCCAGCGUAGGACAGACCGCUGUUCCAAGCCACUGGGAAAGGGGAAACUGGUGACUGAGCGGCGCCCGUCAGAGCCAUUAAAACGUGAGGGAAAACUGCACCUUACGGCACACGAACCCUUAGAAGAGGCAAAACACUACUGAGUUAAUGCUUAAUUUAUUUGUAAUGAUAAAAGUUUUUAUCACUUUAAAUAAAGUUAUUUGAAAAAAGUUAUUCAAUGGCAG